GUAUAUGUAAUUUAAAAAAAAAUAUUAGGCUGUGACCCUAAAAAUAGAGUCCGACUCUCAUACACC
rnacentral:tRNA from 1 species